AACUAACGCAAAUCAAAGUUACAGUUUCUGUACUUUAUU
rnacentral:misc_RNA from 1 species